GCUCGUCACAUCCUGGGGCUGGAGAAGGUCCCAAGGGUUCGGCUGUUCGCCGAUUAAAGUGGCACGCGAGCUGGGUUCAGAACGUCGCGAGACAGUUCGGUCCCUAUCUGUUAUGGGCGCAGGAAGUUUGCCGGGGGCUGGCUCUAGUACGAGAGGACCGAGCCGGACGCACCGCUAGUGGACCAGUUGUCCCGCCAGGGGCACCGCUGGGUAGCUAUGUGCGGAAGAGAUAAGCGCUGAAAGCAUCUAAGUGCGAAACUCGCCUGAAGAUGAGACUUCCCAUGAGGGCCGUCGAAGACGACGACGUGGAUAGGCCGCAGGUGUAAAGCCGGUGACGGCAAAGCCGAGCGGUACUAAUGGCCCGAUAGAUUUCCUUAC
rnacentral:rRNA from 1 species